CACUGCUUUGCUAUCCUGGGCUUGCUGGACCUGGCAAAAGGGAUGUUUCUGGAGGCUGAUGGGGAAGAUCUGGCAGCGUGUUCCCCUGCGUGUCCUUUGGGCUGUAGGUGCAAAGGCAGAUGAGGGUGAGUCAGCCACAAAGAAGCAGGUGGUUAGAUUAGAUCUGGCCAUAGCCAGGGAUAGCUGGACAAGGGAGGAGAAGGCAGGCUCCAGACAGCCUUUCCCACAGGAACAGAGGGGCCAAACCCUGCAGGACAGCGAGGCUCGGUGGGCAGGAAGCAAAAUGUUGCCCUCCGCUGUUUGCAGCGUUGCUGGAACAGAGAACUCGCUGCGUCCGAGCCAGUCCAGUGCUUUACUCCAGUGUCACAUCCCUGGCACUGGUCAGGGGAUUUGGAGAGAGACGACUCCCACCCAGCCCACAGAUGCUGCAAAGACCUGAAAAAGGUCCCAUCACCCUCCCUGAGCCACCAGGAGUGACAUCCUUCCACUCUUAGGGUGAGCUGCUCCUGCCCUGGCACCUCAGCCUGGGACUGAGACCUGGGGGUUGGCCAUGGAUCACCCGGUUGUCUUCACACUGAGGUGGGUCCAACCAAGACCAACCUCCUCACAUGUCGUGUUUCACAAGAAAACAAAGCAAAGCAGCUCAGUUGUGCAUCCUUGGUCCAAAUUCCUCAUUUUUCCCUUCUCUUUUUUCUUGGUGACUCUUCAAGCUCCUUCUGGUAACUUUAGAGCUAUGCUGGCAAAAUUGUCCCCCUGCUCCUCCUUGCUAGAGAUGCAACACAGAUGGAUUCAUGCCUUUUAUAGACCUUCAACAUCUGAGUGCUGGGAGUAUUAAACCAGUUAGUGGAGGGAGUGACUACUUUUUUUUGUAGAUGUGGAAACUGAGGCAUAGGCUACUUGUCCAGGUGAAAAGAAAUCAGAUUUUAGGGCCAAGGGACACAAUUUCACUUGGAAACCUUUGCUGCAUCAGCUUCCCUGGCAUUUCUUGAGAUGUUUCCGCAAGGGAGGAGACCCUUUCUCCUUUCUUCUUGCCCAGAAAGGAUCAGAAGUCAGGGACAGAGCUGACAACAUGGCACCAUGGACCCAUGACCUCCCUUCUUGUACAAGGGGCAGCAGGCAGAAAUAAAACACAGUUCAGGGCUGGUGGAGCUGGAGGA
rnacentral:lncRNA from 1 species